rnacentral:rRNA from 1 species
UUCCGGUUGAUCCUGCCGGACCCGACUGCUAUCAGAGUGGGACUAAGCCAUGCGAGUCAACGCAGCAAUGCGUGGCAUACGGCUCAGUAACACGUAGUCAACAUGCCCAGGGGACGUGGAUAACCUCGGGAAACUGAGGAUAAACCGCGAUAGGCCAAGGUUUCUGGAAUGGAUCAUGGCUGAAACCUACAUGGCCCCUGGAUUGGACUGCGGCCGAUCAGGCUGUUGGUGAGGUAAUGGCCCACCAAACCUGUAACCGGUACGGGCUCUGAGAGGAGGAGCCCGGAGAUGGGCACUGAGACAAGGGCCCAGGCCCUAUGGGGCGCAGCAGGCGCGAAACCUCUGCAAUAGGCGAAAGCUUGACAGGGUUACUCUGAGUGAUGUCCGCUAAGGGCAUCUAUAGGCACUUCUAAAAAUAGUGUAGAAUAAGGGGUGGGCAAGUCUGGUGUCAGCCGCCGAGGUAAUACCAAGAACCCGAGUGGUCGAGACGACUAUUGGGCCUAAAGCAUCGGAACCGGUACUGCAAGUCUUCCGAUAACUCCAACAUGC